rnacentral:misc_RNA from 1 species
AGCAGCCGCGGUAAUUCCAGCUCCAAUAGCGUAUAUUAAAGUUGUUGCAGUUAAAAAGCUCGUAGUUGAAUUUUGGAUUCUUCCAAUUGGUCCAUCUUUUAGAUGAGUACUGGUUGUGUGGGGUCUAUCCGCCUGGUGAUACGUAAUGUCCUUUAUUGGAUGUUGCGGGUAGUCAGGACCUUUACCUUGAAAAAAUUAGAGUGUUUAAAGCAGGCUUAUGCCGGAAUACAUUAGCAUGGAAUAAUAGAAUAGGACGAAGUUGUUUUAUUUUGUUGGUUUCUAGGACAACCGUAAUGAUUAAUAGGGAUAGUUGGAGGCAUUAGUAUUCAAUUGUCAGAGGUGAAAUUCUUGGAUUUAUUGAAGACUAACUACUGCGAAAGCAUUUGCCAAGGAUGUUUUCAUUAAUCAAGAACGAAAGUUAGGGGAUCGAAGACGAUCAGAUACCGUCGUAGUCUUAACCACAAACUAUGCCGACUAGGGAUCGGGCGAUGUUGUUUCCAUGACUCGCUCGGCACCUUAU